UCUCUUCUUGAUGUCGGUGCUGAACC
rnacentral:piRNA from 1 species